CUAGCACAUCUCCCACCCUCUGAGAUGAUUUAAAAAGUUUUUCCUUUAGUGGAAUGCUUACCUCUUUUUUUUUCAGAGUAUUGUAUUUUUUCCCCAAAGUUACAUUGCAAAGUCAGCUCUGGUUAGAGAGGUUAGUUUUAGAGUAAUCCAAAGAACAAAUACUAAUCACAUUUUAUUUCAUUUAAUAAAAGAUAUUCUCCCAGGGUAGAUACUUGGGCAUCUACAGAAGUGAGCAUUCACCCUUUGACUUUGUGAGUCAGUAGCCUUUCUAAAUUGACUCUGGACCAGCCAUCCUGGAGCUUUGAUUUCAUGACAUACAUGUAUCUACAUGAGUUGUGAGUUGACACAGGAACCAUAGUUCCAUAACUAUCUUUGAAUUAAUUAGUAUACUCAAUGGAUUUUUUUCUGAGAGACUUAUAUUAAGCCAAUGGUAUGAAAUUGAUGACAUUUUAAGGUUGAGAAAGUAAGGUUUUCUUUUUUUUUUUUUUUAAUCAAUAAUAAAGUACAGAAAUUUGUGAGUGAUUGACUCAUUACCAAAGUAAAUUAAAAUGAAAUAUGUCACUUUAGUCACUUGCAAUUAAAUAUGCUUUCUGGAAGGGGUAGCCCUGUGGCUGGUAUGCCAUGAAUUGUGCCUUAAUGCAUUGUUAUAUGUGAACUUGGUGUGUGUGCCACGGUGGAAGACAGGUUGAAAAAUGUUGAUCUACAUCUUGUUGAGAUGGCAGAGGGUAGAGGUGGCCUCCUCUGGAGGUGCUUCCUUACACAUCCAUUAAGCAAGGACUCCUGAUCUCUCCCUUCUCAGAUCACCCCAACUCCCUGCAAAAGGGAGUUCAGGAUAAAGAACUGGACAUGCAAACCUUUCUCCCCUUUCUGGGGAUUUGUAAUGCUUGCAGAGAGCCUGUGUUUUAUUCUCUUGACAGACAUGGCAUAAGCUUUGCAGUGAAAGGCUCUGUGACUCUGCAGGGGGAGCCCUGGAGUUGUGCAGGACCGCCCAUUCCUUGGUGAGCAGGUCUGUCUUAUUCUGGGUUAGAUAUUAGGUGGCUAUUAUUGGUGCAAACCUAAAUCUGAUACACUGAAUCUCCAUUGCCUGGCUUGGCCUCUCAAGUGGCUCAGAAGCCAGGAGGGGGACGGGGAAUAUUAUUUCAUGAUUCCCUCAAACCUCAACAAAAAUUUGUGAAAAUUGUAUUUCAAAGUAAGCGUAAGAUAAACACCAAAUUGGGAUUUUUUUUUUUCUAAUUUUACCCAUUUUUCAAGUCAUGGAAGUUCUGUUGGACAUGGAUAAUGUCAAUCACAAGACAAUAUGUAAACAUUUGUUCAGGAUGUCCAAAGACCUAUCCCCUGGGAAUUGUGAAAGACCACAGUAUUGACUCUAGAUUUACUUAGAAGGAGAAAAUGUUAAACAAAUCAUAUUUUCUGCCCACCCUGUUAACUUUCUUAGAGUAUAGUUUAUGUAUAGUAAAUGUACCCUAUAUUGUAAGUUUACAGUUUGAGGAGUUUUAACAAAUGUGAACAACCACAC